UACGUAGGGGGCUAGCGUUGUCCGGAAUCAUUGGGCGUAAAGAGCGUGUAGGCGGUCCGGUAAGUCCGUUGUGAAAGUCAGGGGCUCAACCCUUGAAUGCCGGCGGAUACUGUCGGGCUAGAGUGCGGUAGAGGAGAGUGAAUUCCCGGUGUAGCAGUGAAAUGCGUAGAGAUCGGGAGGAACAUCAGUUGCGAAGGCGGCUCUCUGGACCAGCACUGACACUGAGGCACGAAAGCGUGGGGAGCAAACAGG
rnacentral:rRNA from 1 species